rnacentral:rRNA from 1 species
UGGAAGUAAAAAGUCGUAACAAGGUUUCCGUAGGUGAACCUGCGGAAGGAUCAUUACCGAGUGCGGGUCCUUUGGGCCCAACCUCCCAUCCGUGUCUAUUGUACCCUGUUGCUUCGGCGGGCCCGCCGCUUGUCGGCCGCCGGGGGGGCGCCUCUGCCCCCCGGGCCCGUGCCCGCCGGAGACCCCAACACGAACACUGUCUGAAAGCGUGCAGUCUGAGUUGAUUGAAUGCAAUCAGUUAAAACUUUCAACAAUGGAUCUCUUGGUUCCGGCAUCGAUGAAGAACGCAGCGAAAUGCGAUAACUAAUGUGAAUUGCAGAAUUCAGUGAAUCAUCGAGUCUUUGAACGCACAUUGCGCCCCCUGGUAUUCCGGGGGGCAUGCCUGUCCGAGCGUCAUUGCUGCCCUCAAGCCCGGCUUGUGUGUUGGGUCGCCGUCCCCCUCUCCGGGGGGACGGGCCCGAAAGGCAGCGGCGGCACCGCGUCCGAUCCUCGAGCGUAUGGGGCUUUGUCACAUGCUCUGUAGGAUUGGCCGGCGCCUGCCGACGUUUUCCAACCAUUCUUCCAGGUGACCUCGAUCAGGAGG